GAGUUUNGNNCUGGCUCAGGACGAACGCUGGCGGCGUGCCUAAUACAUGCAAGUCGAACGAACUCUGGUAUUGAUUGGUGCUUGCAUCAUGAUUUACAUUUGAGUGAGUGGCGAACUGGUGAGUAACACGUGGGAAACCUGCCCAGAAGCGGGGGAUAACACCUGGAAACAGAUGCUAAUACCGCAUAACAACUUGGACCGCAUGGUCCGAGUUUGAAAGAUGGCUUCGGCUAUCACUUUUGGAUGGUCCCGCGGCGUAUUAGCUAGAUGGUGAGGUAACGGCUCACCAUGGCAAUGAUACGUAGCCGACCUGAGAGGGUAAUCGGCCACAUUGGGACUGAGACACGGCCCAAACUCCUACGGGAGGCAGCAGUAGGGAAUCUUCCACAAUGGACGAAAGUCUGAUGGAGCAACGCCGCGUGAGUGAAGAAGGGUUUCGGCUCGUAAAACUCUGUUGUUAAAGAAGAACAUAUCUGAGAGUAACUGUUCAGGUAUUGACGGUAUUUAACCAGAAAGCCACGGCUAACUACGUGCCAGCAGCCGCGGUAAUACGUAGGUGGCAAGCGUUGUCCGGAUUUAUUGGGCGUAAAGCGAGCGCAGGCGGUUUUUUAAGUCUGAUGUGAAAGCCUUCGGCUCAACCGAAGAAGUGCAUCGGAAACUGGGAAACUUGAGUGCAGAAGAGGACAGUGGAACUCCAUGUGUAGCGGUGAAAUGCGUAGAUAUAUGGAAGAACACCAGUGGCGAAGGCGGCUGUCUGGUCUGUAACUGACGCUGAGCUC
rnacentral:rRNA from 2 species